UUAAGUUCAGCGGGUAGUCCUACCUGAUUUGAGGUCAAAUUCAUCAAAAUUGUGUGGUUCAACGACCACUCGCAUUUUUAGAAGCGGUGCAAUCUGUUUAUGCAGCAUACCAAAAGGCAUAGAUAAUUUAUCAAACCUAAUAGCAGUAGCUCAGAUACCACUAAUACAUUUCAGGGGAGCCGACUUCUUUUUGAGAAGCC
rnacentral:misc_RNA from 1 species